CUUUAGCCCCGAUAGCAGUGGUUACCCCGGAACAUGAGUGAGAGCGUUGGAGGGUAAGGUUGGGGGAUAGUUUGGCGUGAGGAGUAUGAGCGGAUAGCGGGAAUAAGC
rnacentral:misc_RNA from 1 species